rnacentral:rRNA from 1 species
GUGUGGUGGAAAGAUUUAUCGGUGCAGGAUGGGCCCGCGGCCUAUCAGCUUGUUGGUGGGGUAAUGGCCUACCAAGGCGACGACGGGUAGCCGGCCUGAGAGGGCGACCGGCCACACUGGGACUGAGACACGGCCCAGACUCCUACGGGAGGCAGCAGUGGGGAAUAUUGCACAAUGGGCGCAAGCCUGAUGCAGCGACGCCGCGUGAGGGAUGACGGCCUUCGGGUUGUAAACCUCUUUCAGCAGGGACGAAGCGCAAGUGACGGUACCUGCAGAAGAAGCACCGGCCAACUACGUGCCAGCAGCCGCGGUAAUACGUAGGGUGCAAGCGUUGUCCGGAAUUACUGGGCGUAAAGAGCUCGUAGGCGGUUUGUCGCGUCGUCUGUGAAAACCAGCAGCUCAACUGUUGGCUUGCAGGCGAUACGGGCAGACUUGAGUAUUUCAGGGGAGACUGGAAUUCCUGGUGUAGCGGUGAAAUGCGCAGAUAUCAGGAGGAACACCGGUGGCGAAGGCGGGUCUCUGGGAAAUAACUGACGCUGAGGAGCGAAAGCGUGGGUAGCGAACAGGAUUAGAUACCCUGGUAGUCCACGCCGUAAACGGUGGGCGCUAGGUGUGGGGUUUCCUUCCA